rnacentral:rRNA from 1 species
GAUGAACGCUGGCGGUGUGCCUAAUACAUGCAAGUCGAGCGAACAGACGAGGAGCUUACUCCUCUGACGUUAGCGGCGGACGGGUGAGUAACACGUGGAUAACCUACCUAUAAGACUGGGAUAACUUCGGGAAACCGGAGCUAAUACCGGAUAACAUGUUGAACCGCAUGGUUCAACAGUGAAAGACGGUCUUGCUGUCACUUAUAGAUGGAUCCGCGUCGCAUUAGCUAGUUGGUAAGGUAACGGCUUACCAAGGCAACGAUGCGUAGCCGACCUGAGAGGGUGAUCGGCCACACUGGAACUGAGACACGGUCCAGACUCCUACGGGAGGCAGCAGUAGGGAAUCAUCCGCAAUGGGCGAAAGCCUGACGGAGCAACGCCGCGUGAGUGAAGAAGGUCUUCGGAUCGUAAAACUCUGUUAUUAGGGAAGAACAAAUGUGUAAGUAACUAUGCACGUCUUGACGGUACCUAAUCAGAAAGCCACGGCUAACUACGUG